ACGUGAACUGAGCCUGUGACGUAUGACUUUACUUCCGGACUGUGCCCCCCGUCUCUCUCUGAUCAUGGACAGUCAAAAGGAAGCUCUUCGCAGGAUCAUUAGCACGUUAGCCAAUAAAAAUGAAGAGCUGCAGAACUUCCUGGAAACGGUUGACAACACAUUGGUGGGACUACAGAGGGAGUCCUGCAAGGUGAUGACAGACCUGGAGGAGGAGCUUGAGUUGCUGAGCUCCGCUGUCCACGAGAGAGGUGAGGAGCUUCGUGACAUCAUCAGAGAAGAAAAGCACAGAAAGGAGGCGGAGCUUCAGGAGCAGCUGUCAGAGGGAAAGGUCGCUCUGCAGUCGUGUGAGCAGCUGCUGGAGUUUGCAAACAAAACACUCGGCAUCACCACCGAAGAAGAAUUCCUCACGGCUGCAAAACAAAUCAAAGAACGGGUAACAAUGGCGCCAGCGUUUCGGCUGACGACUCGUCCGGCUGUGUCCGAAAACAUGGCGCAGUUCACUGUCGACUUCAGCGCAGAGAGGGCGGGGCUUCAGCGACUUGAAUUCCUGCCAGUUCCCAGACCUCCAGAGAUCGACGUCUCCAGAUGUGUCGUUUGUGACAACAACGUCACCGUUGCCUGGCGACCGGCUGACGAGGGUGACAACGAUGACUUCACCGGACCAAUCAAAAGCUACGAACUCGAAUAUCGUAAAGCGAGCCAUGACAGCUCGGCGAGAGCUGCAGCGGAGGCAUGCUGGGAAAAAAUCUGUGACAUCAGAGAUUCCCAGGUCACCAUCUCAGAUCUGAAGUUUGAUUCCCGCUUCAUCAUGUUUCGCGUGCGAGCAAAAAACAAAGCGGCUGCCGGAGAAUUCUCUGAGCCUGUCGCCAUGGAAACCAGAGCAUUUAACUUCGGCUUCGACGCGGCAACGGCUCACGCUGAGCUGAAGGUUCACGGCGACACGGUGACCUGGGAGCCUCAGCGGGUCAAAGGUCACGACCCCAGACUCAGAGCCAAAGACUGCAAAAGCAGUCUCCGUACUGCGUCCUCUUCGACAAACUCAGCAGAAGUGCAACACCGUCGCCCAAUAAGGCAGGGAACCGAACGGGUCGCGACAGAUUUGCCGGAGAGUCGUACACAGUGCUGGGUGACCAGGAGAUGGCUGGCGGCUGCCACUACUGGGAACUCCGCCUCUUGGCCGACUGGAAGUCGUUCAGUGUGGGCGUGGCUUAUCGGUCCAGCCUGGGCCGCUUUGACCAAUUAGGAAAGAGCGCCGGUUCGUGGUGCAUUCACGCGAGCCAGUGGCUGCAGAACUCAUUAGCAGCCAAACACAACAACCGAGCGAGGGCGCUGGAUUGGCUGCUGCCUCAGCGAAUCGGAAUCUACUGUGACUACGACAAUGGUGAUUUAUGUUUCAUCGACGUCGAUCAACGUCGGCUUCUACACUCCUUCAAAACAAAAUUCAGCCAGCCGCUCGUCCCCGCCUUCACUGUGUGGUGUGGCGGUAUCACCGUGGUGACGGGUCUUCAGGUGCCGAGCUUCAUAGACAGUUUCCUCUCCACCAGUCGGAGCCUGAGCGACUUGUCCCAGUAGAUGUUUCAUGUGAUCAGUGAUUAAAAGUUUAUUUAUGAGUAAAAUGUAACGCGUAGAAUUUAUUUAUCAUGAAAUGUUUAUUUGAAAAAUAUGAUUUUUAAAACCUCAUUGAUUGUUUUAGUAUUUCUGAUGAUUAUGUUUCUAUUUAUUAAUGAUAAAGUGUGACACAUGAAUAACACUAUUUAUCAUUAAAAAUCUAUUUAAAAUUACAUUUUUUUUUUUUUU